rnacentral:lncRNA from 1 species
AUGCUGUCUAUCUGGCAGAGGAUGAUCCAAAGAAAAUCUCAGUGGCUCAUCUGUGUGCUGAUUAACGAGGAAAGCAGUCAUCCGCUGACACCUAGGGACGGGAGGGUGAGAAAGAGAUGUUCCAAGAGCUGUGGAUGCCUCAUCCUGAGCAUCUCCUCCUUCACAAAAUACGGCUGCCUCUGGCCCAGGAGGACUGGUGGGCAGCCCCCGGCUCAGGUAGCUGGGGGAGGGGGAAGUCUGUCCUCCUCAAGCCCGUCCUUGCUCAGCUUCCUUAUCUUCUCUGACUAUUCUUUCUUCGAGAGCACCUGCAUGUGCCCCAUAGCGCCAGAUACCACCCAUCAAUGUGCAGGUCCUGAGUCUCUCCCGUCCAGACCUGCCCCCCACCUCCAGGCCCAUAUGCGCCUUUUGUCCUGGGCACUUCCAUGUCCAAAUCCAGACAGCCGCAAUUCAGCCUGCCAAACCUCAUUCACCUCUCCCCAGCCCACCCCAACCUUGUCUUCCUCCCACAUUCCCGACGUUAAGGCAGGAACUUUCGAAGUCAUUCAUUUGUUCAACACAACUCUAAUGCUGCCUGCAUGCCAGGCCCUGAGCCAGGAGCUGAGGAUGCUGAGAAAUGAGACACAAGACACAGUCUCAGCCCCGGAGGAGUUCACAGAAUGGAGGGGGAGACUGACAGUGACAGAGUACCACAGGGUAGUCGCCGGGGCACGUGGGGCAGAGGAGAGAGUGAUGGGCCCUGCAAGUGAGGACGGGCGUGGUGAGGAAAGCUGCUCAGAGGAGGCACCUGAGGGAUGUGUGUCCCGGGAACAGCUGAGGGGGCAUUCCAGGCAAAGCACACGGCUUACAAAGCAGUUAAGCAGCCUGAGGCUUUCAGAGGGCACCGUCCUCUGUGCAAAACUGGAGGAAAGGCGGGGCAGGGCAGAUGGGGGUAAGCAGGAGACGCGUGUUUCGGUGUUGCCUUCCCGGGUCCUCCCUCCACCCAUGGGGGUGGUACUGGGAGGAGACACGUGA